GAUGAACGCUGGCGGCGUGCCUAAUACAUGCCAGUCGAGCGAACGGACGAGAAGCUUGCUUCUCUGAUGUUAGCGGCGGACGGGUGAGUAACACGUGGAUAACCUACCUAUAAGACUGAGAUAACUUCGGGAAACCGGAGCUAAUACCGGAUAAUAUUUUGAACCGCAUGGUUCAAAAGUGAAAGACGGUCUUGCUGUCACUUAUAGAUGGAUCCGCGCUGCAUUAGCUAGUUGGUAAGGUAACGGCUUGCCAAGGCAACGAUGCAUAGCCGACCUGAGAGGGUGAUCGGCCACACUGGAACUGAGACACGGUCCAGACUCCUACGGGAGGCAGCAGUAGGGAAUCUUCCGCAAUGGGCGAAAGCCUGACGGAGCAACGCCGCGUGAGUGAUGAAGGUCUUCGGAUCGUAAAACUCUGUUAUUAGGGAAGAACAUAUGUGUAAGUAACUGUGCACAUCUUGACGGUACCUAAUCAGAAAGCCACGGCUAACUACGUG
rnacentral:rRNA from 1 species